GGUUUGGUUUUUUUUUAACUUUCAGUCACAUUAUUAUUUUAUUCAUCCUGAAGUUCUUUUGUAUAAGGAAACAUUCCUCGUCCAGCCAAGAUUUCCCAGGAAACUAACUUGACCCUUUGGCAGGCUGUUGGAAACGUUCUAUCGCGGAGUUGAGAAGCUCAAGCAAUCUCCAUCUCAUUUUGAUAGUUUGUGAUGUCAACACUGGGUACCUGACAUGGAUCAACGUUUAUUUUGAGAUGCUGCCAGACCUGCU